rnacentral:rRNA from 1 species
AUUGAACGCUGGCGGCAGGCCUAACACAUGCAAGUCGAGCGGAGCGGCAGACGGGGGAGUAAUGCCUAGGACUCUGCAUGGUAGUGGGGGAGAACGUCCGGAAACGGGAGCUGAUACCGCAUACUCUCAGAUGAGCCUAGGUCGGAUGGGCUAGUGGGUGGGGUAAAGGCCUACCAAGGCGACGAUCCUUAACUGGUCUGUGAGGAUGACCAGUCACACUGGAACUGGGACACGGUCCAGACGUCUACGGGAGGCAGCAUUGGGGAAUAUUGGACAAUGGGCGAAAGCCUGAUCCAGCUAUGCCGCGUGUGUGAAGAAGGUCUUCGGAUUGUAAAGCACUUUAAGUUAGGAGGCGUUACCAACAGAAUAAGCACCGGCUAACUUCGUGCCAGCAGCCGCGGUAAUUC